rnacentral:rRNA from 1 species
AUUGAACGCUGGCGGCAGGCCUAACACAUGCAAGUCGAGCGAGCGGCGGACGGGUGAGUAAUGUAUGGGGACUGCCCGAUAGAGGGGGAUAACUACUGGAAACGGUGGCUAAUACCGCAUACUAUCGGAUAACCCAUAUGGGAUUAGCUAGUAGGUGGGGUAAAGGCUCACCUAGGCGACGAUCUCUAGCUGGUCUGAGAGGAUGAUAAGCACCACUGGGACUGAGACACGGCCCAGACUCCUACGGAGCCAGCAGUGGGGAUUAUUGCACAAUGGGCGCAGGCCUGAUGCAGCCUGGCGGGGUGUAUGAAGAGGGCCUUAGGUUUGUAAAGUACUUCCAGCGUGGAGGCGUUCCCCGCAGAAGAAGCACCGGCUAACUCCGUGCCAGCCGCCGCGGUAAUUC